rnacentral:rRNA from 1 species
UACGGGGGGAGCAAGCGUUGUUCGGAUUUACUGGGCGUAAAGGGCGCGUAGGCGGCUUUCCAAGUCACUUGUGAAAUCUCCGGGCUUAACUCGGAACGGUCAAGUGAUACUGUGAGGCUAGAAUGCGGAAGGGGCAACUGGAAUUCUCGGUGUAGCGGUGAAAUGCGUAGAUAUCGAGAGGAACACCUGCGGCGAAGGCGGGUUGCUGGGCCGACACUGACGCUGAUGCGCGAAAGCUAGGGGAGCGAACGGG